UGACCGAACCUCCUAACAAACAGCCACACCCGGUUCCUGUUAGCAAGCUCCUCUUGGCAAAGGCAGUAGUAUCAGGUUUGGUGUCUACAGACAGGAUGGAUCCCCAUUGUUCCUGAUUUUAGUGGAAUUGCUUGAAGUUUUUCCCAAAGACACUUUCAACUAUAGAAGCUGAAUGACUCCUUCAUUCACUCAAAUUUGCUUAUCUUUGAGAAAAAUGGAUGGGAGCCAGCCCCAAGGGCUGCAACACUACUGUGUCACAGACCUUCAAGUUGAAACAACAGUGAUGCUGAAGUUUGACUCAGAUGGAUGAGGUCCUGGGCUUUUCCGAAGUAUUGGGUAAAAGUUGAAGAGAUUUAUUCCCUCAUAGUUCAAAUAGGUAGUUCUUUGAACACCUGCACAGUUGGAUUAACUCCCACAGGAAGUUCAUGAAUGGAUCUUACCGUGCACAUCCUAGGAGAGGUCAGAGAUGGCAGCCGCCACCCCAGGGGACUGAGAUUCACAGAGGGAAGACACAUCUAUACAGUCUUACUGUAAAUAAGCACUGUGACUUCUAAAACAGAAUUGCAAACAUUUAUUUGUUAAAUAAAUUGCAUUUCUGAUCUUCAGUGCCUUUGGAAAUUACAGCUUAGAAUGGUUGCUCCUUAUAAGAGGGCAUGCAUUAGGAUUGGACAAAAGAAGAUAAAAGCAAGCAUGAUUGGAAACCAUGCCUAUUGCUCUGUACACUGUAGUUUUUGAAGAUACAGCCUAAUACCACCUCGCUUCAAUACUAUGACUGGAUCCCUAAUCAAAAUCCAUUCUCCUGUGUAACAUGUUUUUCAUUCUCUGAUGUCCUCUGUAAAAAUAAAACAAGCAAGCAAACAAAAACACAAUUGAGCAAAAUGUUCUGCUGAGUAAUAUUUGCUCGUGGCUUAAAGAUUCAUUAAAAAUUCCUCACUGACUUGUAUUAAUACAAAUUAGUAGUCAGAAAACAUAAUCCAGUGCAAGAUAGAAUGAAUCUAGACUGAUUUUAAAGACCUGGAAUUAUACUGGAGGCUAGCUGGGAAGAGGAAGAGAUUCAGAGGGAAAGAGGAGGGAACAUAAGAAAAGUAUAUAUUUACUGCUUCUUCUUAUUGUUUAACAAUAUCUCAUCAAGUUUCUUUGGAAUGAACUAUGGAGAACAGCAUGGCCCCAAUUUUGAGUGACAUUCUGCCUGUGCCUCCGCAAGAGCUUAGACUGAAGACCACCUAAAAUCCCAGAAGGAAAGAAGGAUGAGUCAAGCUGCCUAGAAGAAGUGAAGACCAGAGGAGUUUUCUGGCAAGGGCAAUAUGAAAUCAGUUGAUCUUCCUGCUGACUAUGCACCCCAGGUCUCCUGUUUUCAUGUGCUAUGACAAUGCAGGGAUGGACUUUUGGUGAUGCAGUUCUCCCUGAGUCAUUUCUAUUCCUGUAUUUGACCCAUUAGCCAUAUUCCUACAAGUAAACCCAUAAAAG
rnacentral:lncRNA from 1 species